UUUAAUAUGACUUGUAUCAAAACUUUAUAGACCUGUCUGGUAAAUACUUUAUAUUAAUUUAUGGAUUACUCUACAAUAGCGUGGGCAAUAUUGAUACUGAGAUUUUACCCCACUAACAUUUUUUUCCUGCACACAAUAAAAUAAAAUAAAAUGUGAAUACAAACACAUCACGGCAUCAUGAAAUUAUAAUGCAUGUUAUUCCAGAUAAGAGAUUUUUUAAGAAAUGUCACCUAAAUUUAUACCUCAGUUUUAAUUGUCAUUUUAUGAAAAAAUUAAGAGAAAUGUCCUCUUAAUUUUUUAAAAAAUCCAUGAUUUGUCAUUUGACUUUAACACAAUCCAAUUUUCCAUCCAUUUUAAGGGUAUUUUAAAAAUAGAAAAAUCAUAAUUUUUUUUUAAAAAAAAAGGUAUAUCUUUUAAACAAUUAAAAUUGAAAAAAAAAAAAUUUCUCACCUUCUCCCAUCCCCUGUGCGCCACCGGCAGCUCCAACCAACUCCGCCCACCUUGAAGUCACUUCCCCCUUCCCUCUUCACAGCCCCUUCCUCUAUUCCCCCUUCCCUCUUCCCCUUCCUCCUUCUUUCUCUACCAUAGAACACCUACUCUCUACACACAAAUUCCCU
rnacentral:lncRNA from 1 species